UCCUAUUGUUCUUGCAAAGAUUUCAAGCACUGUAUUAAUAAGAGUGAAGAAAAUUGACUUGUUUCUGAGUUUAGGAGAAGUGUUUUGAUACCUCCAAUUUGUGUAUGUGUUAGGGGUAUAUUACUUCUAUUUGGUCAGUGUUUGUUGCAAUGAGAUGUUAAACUUUCCCAAAUGCAAUUCUGCAUUUAUUAAGAUGAUCCUGUGACUUUUGUCUUUAGGACUAUUUUUGUGUUGUGCUACAUUUAUUGAUGUAACAAACUUUGAACUCUAGGACGUGGCCAUCUUAACAAGUAAGAGGGUGACUCCAUUGACUUUGGCCUGACCCUGACUGUGAGUGAACAGCGAUGUGGCCGAUGAGCUUAUCUGAGGGAAAACAAAAGCGGAGGGAAGACAACUGUAAGCUUGGAUGUGUUCGGGGCAUUUGGAGACAUGCCAAGAGCACAUGAUUGACAGGGAAGGCAACUCCUGGGAUGGCAGCCAGCCGCUCCUCUUGGUUCAGUGCCAUUGGUCAGGCUGGUACACAGGAACGCGUGCUCACAUCUCCCUGUGCUGGAGCAACUGUCAAGUACUUGGCCUUUGACAUGACCUUUGGGGAUCCUCGCUGACUUGCUUCAGACAGGGGUUUUCCAUGAAUUCAUGUGAUGCGGAUUUCCACACAAGAGUCCUUAUUUUUUCCAUGUAAAACAAAGACAUUAUACCCUAAAAAUUUACAGUGUAAGAGAUGAAUUGUUCAUUUAGAUGGUUCCAAUUUCAUUACUGAUUUUUCUGUAAGUUUACCUGUAUUUUUGAUGUUUCUAACUGGUAUGUCAAAACUUCAAAAUGGAGAACUAGGUGAUUUGCACUGUGAUCUCUGCAGUCAAAAUGGGCCAUGAAAAUACUGUUUAGAUUUUUAGACUGUUUACAUCUGGGCUGGGGGUAGAAGUGGGCAGUAGGAGCCAGAAUCAGAACACUGGGAUGCACAACUACUUGUAAGUUUAGUUGCCAUAAAUUCCUCAGAAAAACAGCUUGGGUUGGGGGCUGGUGUGUACACCUGUGUAAUGUAUAAGAUUGGAGGCUGAAAGGGGACUUCAGAGGUAUUGUGGGGGUUUGAAUGGUUGAGAAUGGCCCAAGUAGGCUCUUAUAUUUGAAUAUUUGGUCCCCAAUUAGCGGAACUCUUUGGGAAGAAUUAGGAGGUGUG